rnacentral:rRNA from 1 species
GACGAACCGUGCGAACGUUGUUCGGAUUCACUGGGCUUAAAGGGCGCGUAGGCGGACCCAAAAGUCCGGGGUGAAAUCUUUCGGCUUAACCGGAAAAUCGCCUUGGAUACUGUGGGUCUCGAGGGAGGUAGGGGCAUGCGGAACUUCCGGUGGAGCGGUGAAAUGCGUUGAUAUCGGAAGGAACUCCGGUGGCGAAAGCGGCGUGCUGGAUCUCUUCUGACGCUGAGGCGCGAAAGCCAGGGGAGCAAACGGGG